rnacentral:rRNA from 1 species
UACAGAGGUCUCAAGCGUUGUUCGGAUUCAUUGGGCGUAAAGGGUGCGUAGGCGGCGGAGCAAGUCAGGUGUGAAAUCCCGGGGCUCAACCCCGGAACUGCACUUGAUACUGCUUUGCUAGAGUACUGGAGAGGAGAUUGGAAUUUACGGUGUAGCAGUGAAAUGCGUAGAUAUCGUAAGGAAGACCAGUGGCGAAGGCGAAUCUCUGGACAGUUACUGACGCUGAGGCACGAAGGCCAGGGGAGCAAACGGG